GGGCCGGUAGUCUAGCUGGUUAGGAUAUCGUCUUGACGUGGCGGAGGUCGUGGGUACAAAUCCCAUCCGGCCCA
rnacentral:tRNA from 1 species